AAUAUGGGACAAUGGGGGCAACGCUGAUCCAGCCAUGCCGCGUGUGUGAAGAAGGNCUNNGGAUUNUNAAGCACUUUAAGUGGNNNNNAAGGGCGGUAGGUUAAUACCCUGAAGUUUUGACGUUACCAACAGAAUAAGCACCGGCUAACUCGUUCCUACCACCCGCGGUAAUACAGAGGGUGCAAGCGUUAAUCGGAAUUACUGGGCGUAAAGCGCGCGUAGGUGGUUCAGUAAGAUGGGUGUAAAAUCCCCGGGCUUAACCUGGGAACUGCUUUCAUAACUGCCGAGCUAGAGUACGGUAGAGGGUAGUGGAAUUUCCUGUGUAGCGGUGAAAUGCGUAGAUAUAGGAAGGAACACCAGUGGCGAAGGCGACUACCUGGACUGAUACUGACACUGAGGUGCGAAAGCGUGGGGAGCAAAC
rnacentral:rRNA from 1 species